GACGAACGCUGGCGGCGUGCCUAACACAUGCAAGUCGAACGGACGAGAUGGCUUCGGCCAUCGAGUUAGUGGCGGACGGGUGAGUAACGCGUGAGCAACCUGCCUUACAGAGGGGGGAUAACACACGGAAACGUGUGCUAAUACCGCAUAAAUCAGGCUAAUGGCAUCAUUAGCUUGGCAAAGGAGCAAUCCGCUGUAAGAUGGGCUCGCGUCCGAUUAGAUAGUUGGCGGGGUAACGGCCCACCAAGUCUGCGAUCGGUAGCCGGACUGAGAGGUUGAUCGGCCACAUUGGGACUGAGACACGGCCCAAACUCCUACGGGAGGCAGCAGUGAGGGAUAUUGCACAAUGGGCGAAAGCCUGAUGCAGCAACGCCGCGUGAGGGAUGACGGUCUUCGGAUUGUAAACCUCUGUCCUCAGUAGAAGAAAAAAUGACGGUAGCUGAGGAGGAAGCCACGGCUAACUACGUGCCAGCAGCCGCGGUAAAC
rnacentral:rRNA from 1 species